rnacentral:rRNA from 1 species
CGUUAUUCGGAUUUACUGGGCGUAAAGGGCGCGUAGGCGGUCUGAUAAGUCAGUUGUGAAAGCCCGGGGCUCAACCCCGGAAGUGCAAUUGAAACUGUCAGGCUUGAGUAUGGUAGGGGGAAGUGGAAUUCCUGGUGUAGCGGUGAAAUGCGUAGAUAUCAGGAGGAACACCGGUGGCGAAGGCGGCUUCCUGGACCAAUACUGACGCUGAGGCGCGAAGGUGUGGGUAGCAAACAGGAUUAGAUACCCUGGUAGUCCACACAGUAAACGGUGAUCACUAGGUGUUGCGGGUAUUGACCCCUGCAGUGCCGGAGCUAACGCAUUAAGUGAUCCGCCUGGGGAGUACGGUCGCAAGAUUAAAACUCAAAGGAAUUGACGGGGGCCCGCACAAGCGGUGGAG